rnacentral:lncRNA from 1 species
GUCAGCAACGCCCCACCUAAAGCAAGCCCAACCGAAUGGGAAACGCCGAGGGGACCGUGGUCCCGUAUUCAUAUUGACUUUGCGGGGCCUACCAAAGGGCACACUUUCCUGAUUACUGUCGACGCCUAUUCUAACUGGCUCAAGAUUCAUCGAAUGCACACAACUACAACAGACUCAGUUAUUAAUAAAUUAAACAGACUAUUCGCCACACACGGGUUUCCGGACGUAUUGGUCUCGGACAACGGCCCUCAGUUCACUGCAUUGCCUUUUGAACAAUAUCUUGCCGAUCGGGGCAUCCGCCAUGCGUUAACCUCGCCCGCGCACCCUGCGGUGAAUGGACGUGCAGAACGCAUGGUACAAUUCGUAAAAAAGACCCUUCACAAAAUGGAAUUUGGCAACAUCGACGAGAAAAUCAAUCGAAUUCUUUUGUUGCAACACAUCACGCCUCACAGCUUGACCAACAAAACACCCGCUGAACUUCUUAUGGGGCGGAAACUCCGAUCGCACCUUGACCGGCUCCACCCCGCUUUCGCACCAGAAAAGCCUUUCGGUUCCAGCAGCAAAUGCCGGGAAUUUAAGGUAGGCGAUUUAACCUUUGCCAAAAACUUUUCCGGCGACCCGCUAUGGAUACCCGCAACCGUUACCCACCUCACCGGGCCUAGAUCUUACCGUCUGCUUACAGACGAUGGGAGGGUGUGGAAACGCCACAUAGACCAGCUCUGGUCGAGAUUACCACCCAGCGGUCAUGGCCCCCCGGGUUCUCCAACUCAAGGGGGAGGAAGCAUCGAGGAGGGUGACUUUGAUAUAAUUAAUAGCGGGCCAACGGAGGCCCUACAGCCCAGUGAAACACCGGAGCAUGAAGCGGGAAGGGAGUUGACUUUGCCAGGGAACUCUAAUACGGGGGAAACUGAACUGCUAAACCCCGAAGAAACACGGAGUAGCAGAGACAACCAAAGCGAAGGCAGCACGGAAUCGCCGUGCAGAGAAAUAGAAUUUAAUAAAGGUCAUCCAAACGCUCCACCGGAACCGGACAUUGGACAAAACCCGGUGGAGCCUCGGAAAUCAUCCAGGCAGACCAAACGGCCUGCCUAUCUUGAGGAUUUUAUUACAGCUCCCCUCAAACGGAACCCAAGGGGGAGGGGUGUUGUGAAUCAAUAAAAGUUAAUAU